rnacentral:rRNA from 1 species
CCUACGGGUGGCAGCAGUGGGGAAUAUUGCACAAUGGGGGAAACCCUGAUGCAGCGACGCCGCGUGAGUGAAGAAGUAUUUCGGUAUGUAAAGCUCUAUCAGCAGGGAAGAAGAUAACGGUAACUGAUUAAGAAACCCCGGCUAACUACGUGCCAGCAGCCGCGGUAAUACGUAGGGGGAAAGCGUUAUCCGGAUUUACUGGGUGUAAAGGGGGCGUAGACGGCAGCACAAGUCUGGAGUGAAAUGCCCGGGCUCAACCCCGGAACUGCUUUGGAAACUGUGCAGCUAGAGUGCAGGAGAGGUAAGUGGAAUUCCUAGUGUAGCGGUGAAAUGCGCAGAUAUUAGGAGGAACACCAGUGGCGAAGGCGGCUUACUGGACUGUAACUGACGUUGAGGCUCGAAAGCGUGGGGAGCAAACAGGAUUAGAUACCCGUGUAGUC